rnacentral:rRNA from 1 species
GAUGAACGCUGGCGGCGUGCCUAAUACAUGCAAGUCGAGCGAACGGACGAGGAGCUUGCUUCUCUGAUGUUAGCGGCGGACGGGUGAGUAACACGUGGAUAACCUACCUAUAAGACUGGGAUAACUUCGGGAAACCGGAGCUAAUACCGGAUAAUAUUUUGAACCGCAUGGUUCAAAAGUGAAAGACGGUUUUGCUGUCACUUAUAGAUGGAUCCGCGCUGCAUUAGCUAGUUGGUAAGGUAACGGCUUACCAAGGCAACGAUGCAUAGCCGACCUGAGAGGGUGAUCGGCCACACUGGAACUGAGACACGGUCCAGACUCCUACGGGAGGCAGCAGUAGGGAAUCUUCCGCAAUGGGCGAAAGCCUGACGGAGCAACGCCGCGUGAGUGAUGAAGGUCUUCGGAUCGUAAAACUCUGUUAUUAGGGAAGAACAUAUGUGUAAGUAACUGUGCACGUCUUGACGGUACCUAAUCAGAAAGCCACGGCUAACUACGUG